UUUAAAAAAAAAGAAAGACGAUAAGCAAAAGCGUAUAACGUAAUGACUGGCUAUAAGUUAUGGUGGUGAAAAAAAAAAAAAAAAAAAAAAAAUUUUUUUUCGUUAACAACGUCAAUCCAUUCAAUUUAUCUAAUCUUAUGGGAAUUUUUUUAUUAAGAUGAUUUGAUGCAACAAAAUUAGUGAAUGAAAUAGUUUUGGAGAGAAAAAAAAAAUUUUUUUUAUCAUUGCAAUUUUCAGCGUUUAGAUAUGAAUGAAUAUUUUUUAGAUUUAUUCUUUUCGUCCUUACUGAUGUUUUCAAUGAAUGGAGAUAAAACACUUUACUGUAUGGCACGUUUCGCCUAGCUAAGUUUUUAUUGCUACGGUUCAGCUGCAUGUCUAAAUGUUAAAUUUGGGGGCAUUUUGUGUUUUCUCAACGCUUUCUGCUUGCAUAUGGUAAACGCACAACGGAGCGGAACGCAGUGGAUAGAGAGUGUAUGAGAGAGAGAAAGAGUAUGUGUGAUUGAAAAAAAAAGAAAAGACGGAUUGUAUUCAUAAACAUGGGGAAUUCUUCAUUGUAUUUCAGUGUUUGUCAUAUAUCCAACCGAUAUUUCAUUUUUGCAGUGAAGUGUUUAUCCAUCGAUUUGAUGCAUGAGAAAGCGAUUUAUUUUUUUACAAAGCUCAUCCUUGACAAACUCUUUUGUUUUUUUAUCCUAGAAUAAAUAUUUCAACAAUAAACAAUUCGUCUUUAUUGUCCAAUAACCCAAAUGACAGAGAUGCGCUUUUUGUUUACAUUUGGUUAAGCGCCGGUUUUUUGGGUAUGGGCAGCAACACAAGCAACAUAAGCAGCAGUCAAACGAAGCAUCAAACAAACGAUCAAUCAAAAUACUAGAGCCGGAAAAGCAACGGAUUGUAAAACCAUCUUGAUGGCAAAAACUUGCAAUU